rnacentral:lncRNA from 1 species
UAGCAUCCAUAUGAUAAGGAGCCCGGGCUGACAUGGCUAGUCGUAAACCCAAAGUGGCACAGACUUACAGGGACAGGCAUCCAUGACCCAGCAUCGAACGUGUCGGUCAUCAGCAAAUAAGUUCCGGGCUGUAGCACUGGGCUAGCAGGACUCCGGUAAACCGGGCUAUAGCGGGCUAACAGGACUCCGGUAUUCAUCGCGUGACAUUUCCCCGAAGGGACAGACACGGGAACGAAGAAGGACACAUGCCGGCCAGCCUAAGUGUUCCGGAGCAGUAGCAAGCUACCAUGGCUCGGUGGAAACACUAGGAGACAUUUCCCGGUAAGAGAGGCUACUAAAGAUAAACAACUAGAUAGUCAGAUCCCACACAUACCAAGCAUUUCAAUAACAUACACACAAUAUGCUCGAUAUGUGCAAAUACAACAUGGCAUCACAACAUGACUCUACGACUCAAGUAUUUAUUCAUUAGGCUCCGAGGAGCGAGAUAUUACAAACAGGGGUCUCAUGACCCAACAUUCAGAGCAUACAAAUCAAAGCACAAGCGGAAGCUAAUAUGUCUGAGUACAGACAUCUACAAAUGGAAAAAGGCUUAGAAGCCUGACUAUCUACCAGAUCCUGCCGAGGGCACAAGAUCGUAGCUGAGGUAUCAAGCUAAAAGUCGAAGUCCACGCGGAACUACUAGCGAGACCGAAGUCUCUCUGCAAAAACAUAAAAUAGGCAAACGUGAGUACAAAUGUACCCAGCAAGACUUACAUCAGAACUAACUACAUAUGCAUCAUUAUCAACAAAGGGGAUGGUGGAGUUUAACAGCAGCAAGCCAGCUUUGACUCGGUGGCUAUCCUAAACUACGACUGCAAGUAACUCUUUUGAGGUGGCACACAUGAGUCCACAUAUUCACCAUAUCAAUACACCACUAUGGAUCCGCUCUGUCUCCCUACGAGAACGCCAUCCAUAUCACUCACACUUAUCUUGCGUAUUUUAGAGUAUCCACUUUCACUUGUCUAUGAACUAUUAUAGGCAACCCAGAAGUCCUUUACCGCGGACACGGCUAUUCGAAUAGAUGAUGUUAACCCUGCAGGGGUGUACUUCUUCACACACGCUCUCACCACUUACCGCCGUUUACACGACAUGUACUCGGCAACCUUCAAGCGGAAGCCCAACGAGGGUGUCGGCCAUGACCUACCUAAACACUCAAGUCCCUAGUCCAGGUUUAUCGCCUAUUCGGGUUCCAUCCAUGAGGAGAUCCGGCCGACGUUUCGCUCACAGCCCCAAACGAUGUGAGCAGGGUUCCCGAGACACCAAACGGGCGCCCGGUACAUCGUGCCACGUGCCUACCGCAUCACAGCCCACCCCUACAGUCAGCGCUGCGCACGGCCUCCAGCAUACUACAAACACCAGAAACUACUUGCAACUCCUGGACAGAGGACAAGGGUGAUUAAGAAGCCAAGAGGGUCCAUUGGUUUUGGGCCCAAUGCGUGGUAGUAGCUGAAUCAUGGAUCACAAACACAGAACUCAGUUCCUGAGGGCGGCUGCAAUGAGACAACCCACCAUGUACUCCUACAUGGCCUCUCACCGCUACCUUUACCAAAUCGUGUUCACACACUUAGCUCACACACAGUAGGACAUGUUCACGCACCUCUGAUUCAUCCUCGAUGAAUCAGACCCGACUCAACUCUAAGCAGUAGCAGGCAUGACAAACAAGCAUGUAUGAGUAGGCACAACAAGGCUCAAACAACUCCUACUCAUGCUAGUGGGUUUCAUCUAUUUACUGUGGAAUGACAGGUCAUGCAAAGGAUAAAGGGGUUCAGCUACCGCAGCAAGUAACAGAUGAAUCGUUGUUGUCCUAAUGCAGUAAAAGAGAGCAGUAGCGAGAGAGUGGGAUUGUAUCGGAAUGAACAAGGGGGUUUUGCUUGCCUGGCACUUCUGAAGAUAUUAUAGCUCUUCAUCGGUGUCAUCGAUCUCAUCGUCGAAACCACGUCUAUCGAGAGGGGACAGUUACCGGCAAAUAAAGAGGGACACAAUCAAUGCAAUGCAACAAAUAUCAUGCAUGAUAAUGUCAUGGAAAUAUGUUGUUGAUUGAGCUAAUGCAACUAGCAGCAAGUUAAAUGAAGUUGGUUUGAACCCAAGGUUCAAAUUCAAACUCCAUAUGUGAAGGUUUAAAUGCCAUUAAUAUGAUUUGUGCUAAACAGCAGCUGUAAGUUGUUCUAACAUGCAUGAAAAUGGUACAGAUGGAUAGAUUGGAUUUUUCUGAUCAUUUUUCAUAUAUAAUUUAUUUCAUUUGGAGUUACGGUUGAAUUUCUAUGAAUUUUAGAAGUUUUGGUUAUUUUCUGGAAUUUCCUAUAUAAAAAUAAAUCCAGAAAAUAAGUUACUGCGUCAGCCUGACAUCAUCAUGACAUCAGCAGGUCAACGAGGCACGGUCCAGGUCAAACCUGACCAGUGGGGUCCACUGGUCAGUGACACAGUGUUGUUCAGUGUCAAUGACAUGUGGGGCCUGGUCAACGGCCACGUCAGCACAGUCAACUCUGACUGGUGGGUCCCGUGUGAUUAUAAACUAAUCUAAACAAAAAUAGAACCUAGGUUAUUUAGGGUGUGGGGCCCGGGUGUCAGUGAGAUAGGUGGGUUGGUUAGUGGUGUGUUUAACCGCUAAUGAUGGCCACGUCAUCAGUCGCCGGAGUUUGGCCGGCGGCGACCUCAAGCCGCGGCGGAGGCGCACUAGAGUGGCUCGGGUUUUGCCCAUAGUCGACCAAAUCAACCGCGGUUUGGUCCUACGCGUAGCUGGGGCUCGCGCGCAUCUAGUAGGCCAACCGGGAGGAGCUGGGGUGGUCUGAGUUGACGGCGGCGAGCACGAAUGCGGCGGCCAGAGUUCGGGCGAGGUUGGAAAUGGUGCUGUGGGGCACGGCGGGGCGAACGGCUGGGUGCUACGGCCUCCUGGUGAUGUGCUGAGCACGGUGACGUGCCCGGGAUCGAGCCAACGUGGCUGUGGCCAUGACGGCGACGUGCGGUGGCGGCGGCGGGUGCGGCCGAGCUCGGUGUGGUCGCUGUGGUGCUCAAGAAGGCAAACGGAGAGGGGGAGAAGGGGCAGGGGCUCACGGCGGUUGCAACGAGGCGAACGGAGAGCUUGGGGAAGCACCGGGGCGAGCGGGGCGGCGAUGGCGAUGUCGGCGGACCGAGGUUGAAGAAGACGGCGUGGACGGUGAGGCAGGGCCUUCGGCGUCGUGUAGCUCGGUGGAGAAGGUCGAGGAAGACGCGNNNNNNNNNNNNNNNNNNNNNNNNNNNNNNNNNNNNNNNNNNNNNNNNNNNNNNNNNNNNNNNNNNNNNNNNNNNNNNNNNNNNNNNNNNNNNNNNNNNNNNNNNNNNNNNNNNNNNNNNNNNNNNNNNNNNNNNNNNNNNNNNNNNNNNNNNNNNNNNNNNNNNNNNNGAGGAAGACGCGGCGGAGCUCCUGGACUGGUCGGGGAAGCGAGGGGGAGGCGGUGGGCAUGGCAACGCCGAGCGGCGUUGACAGCGGCGCUCGGGCGUGUUCGGUAGAGGGGGCAGGGAGGAGGAGAGAGGCCAGGGAGCGAGGGGAGCGGUCGAGGGGGGUCCAGGGGGGUCUGGGUGGCAACUCCAGAGGCGCCCCGGCCCUCGGCGACAAGCAGGAGGUGGCGCACGGCGGUGCGCGCGCGUCGGGGACGCGCCCGUCCUCCUGGCAAAGGAGAAAGACGACAGGGAAGGAGGCGGUGGUGGGCUGGGCCAGUUGGCUGGGCUGCCAGCUGGGCCGGCCAGGUGGGCUACGGCCAGGUAAGUGGCCCAGGUAGGUCUCUGCUCUGUUUUAUUUUUCUGUUCUGUUUUCUAUUAUUCUGUAAGUUUAGGGCUUUAUUAAAAAUGCCAGGGUAUUACCAAAAAUCAUGAAACUGCUCCAUGUCACUGUUUGGAAUAUUUCCAACAGUAAACAUUUCAGUUUGUGAUUAUUUGAGCAUUUAAAAUAUUAUUAGCAAUUAAAUGCCCAAAUGCAAAUACUAUAUAAUUUAAUUCAAAAAUCCAGGAAUAGCCUAUAAAUAUGUUCAUCAUUUUUGGAAGAGGUUUUCACCUUUAACAGAAAUUAUGAACAUUUCCAAAGGGCAUUCUGGGUUAUUGAAAAUAUUUUUAUUGAACCUAGUUAAAUUUCAUUUGGUGCUAGGGUUUCAACAAUCCCCAUUUCAAAAAAAUUUGGAAUUUAAACAUGAUGGCAUGAUGAACAAGCAAAGUCAAGCAAGGGUUGAACUGGGGCUGUGACAACUCACCCCCACUAAAACAAGAAUCUUGUCCCGAGAUUCAAGACGUGAGGUAAGAAGACAGAGGGGACACGGAACUGACACAGUCUUCAUGAUCCAUUGCAUUCCUCGAAGACGUUGAUUCAUUGCUUCAAAUUGAUCUUGACGUCUUGCUUUGAGAACUACAUCCAACAUGACAACGAGAAGAAGGGGAGGAUCUUGGAGGAAUCGAUCUUCUUGAGGUUCGAGCAACUUAGGAUCAUCUUGAGGAUCACAAGACCAAUUCACGGAAUGAGACAUAGAACAUCUCUGGAGCUGAGAGGCAAAACUUGCAUCAGGAGCGACGGAAAAAACAAUUUGACGAGGGUUUCAAAGUGGCGAAGAAAUAAUUGCCAUGAUCCCGUAACGGGGCACCUUAGGGAAGGUAACUCGUAGAAUCAUCCCUUAAGUGGCAAAAAGAAUUACCUUUGAUUCAAAGAUCACUGAGGCUCUUUAUACCAGCUUAAGGCAAAUCACAAUCGAUCAUUUAAAGGAGUCCGAAAGAAAGACAUUCUCGGGCCAGAAUGGAUGAUGUGGACUACCUUGUUGAAGACAACACAAGGAAUGAUUUUAGUAACUGGGGAGAAGCUCAACGGUAGAGAGUGAAUCCACUGUUGGAGUGGUUAUAGCAUAACCGAGGAAACUGAGAGCAAUCCCAGUUAGUAACUAUGAUAGCACCUAAUGCUUGUGCGUGCUUUCAAGAGUUUGAGCAUUUCCGUAUUCAUCAAGGUUUUAUCAACAUCCGUGUCAAGGGUGCUGACAACACAACAUACUACCAUGAUGAGUAGCGAUGGACGAUGCAGAUACAAAGGAAGACAACACUUUCUCAGAUUUCACCUUAGGGGGGCCAAGGAAACAAAAUCUGGAUGAUUGACCGAGAGACAUUUAGCACUCCGCUUCUAAUGUUCUCCUUGAUGUGCUAGUGUAUCCCAUUCAUUGAAAUGGUCUGGUAUCUAGAACAUCAAGUAACAGGUCGGACUUCGGGAACACCAAAAAUCCAUAAGGAACAACUACUAGUAUAAAUUCUGCGAGAUCCUUAUGGGGAGGUGGCCAACUUCUUCAAUCAAGAUACUACAAUAAUAGGUCUUCCGGCGGGGUGUGUUGGCCACGGCAUCCACCUUACCGGUUAUCACGAGACCAAUAUUAUAGUUCUUGGGAAAUGUUCCAACCAUCACAUCUGCCUGAGAUUCAAAUCUGGUUGGUGUCAGCAUAAUUCAGACUCGUCGAGUCUAGAGAGAAAAAUAAAAGUUUGCAACACAAAUCGACGAGAUAACGUUGUGAGAUUCUCGGGGAAUGGACUACGGUAGUAAGCUCCAAAACACGAGCUGCUUCUGCUACAAACAUGUGGACACGCUGCCUCAGGCAAGCAUGACCAAGUAGUAGUCUUAUAAUAAAACACUACCGGGUUCAGGAGGGGACCAUCAUCGAGGAUAUCAAAGUCCUUGCAUAAGGUAUACUCUUAAGAAGGAACUUAUUCUCCUUGAACAAAUCAAUCAGUGGCUUGGUAUGCUAGGAAUACAUAUAGAAUGAAGGUUGCAAGUCUUCGAACCAUAGAAUACUUCGCACGUAUGCAUGAAUGAUUUGGGAUGAUUCCAAAGGAAGCAACAUUGUCUUUCUCGAAUCCAUGGCGGCAACUUGCAUCAAAUGCACAUGAACUAGAGGAAGUCACUUCUUACAUCCGAACAUAUGCUUCAUGAGCUAGCAUGAACAAAUGCUUUAAAAAGUUUCCAACACUAGCUUAAUGUUCAACAAAACUAUGGAGAAGACAAGGAUGUUGUCGAUGGGCUCAACAGCAAUUCAUCCAGAUUCCCAUGGAGAUGGAAUUCCAUAACUAUGUGAACAAGGUGAUAGUAUUGGUCAGACCCAAAAGAUAUAAUGGUGUAUGCUCGAGGAAAAUCCACGAGUAAGACAACAUUACGAACAUCGUUGGUUCUGAUUCGAUUUGAGAAUAGCCCACACUCAAAUCAAAGUUUUUGGCAAGACAAUAGCUCCAACAACUGGUCACGAGGAUCAAUCGAUGAAGAUACCAUCUUUCUUCAACACACACACAAAAACAUCCCUUUGGAAUGAGCUAAGUCGGACAAGCUUUUAUCUUCCAAUUCUCCAAGUUGUUGUUUAGCUUAACCAACUAGCUCAGGGGUACCCAACACAGACUCUUGGAGAAGGGGUGGUUUACAAGAAACCAACUUGAUCACGAACUCAACAUAGCGGUCAGGUGACAACCUGGUGAUACCCCCGAGAAGAAAUUCGGAAAAUCACGAACCACCGAUAUGUUACUAAGCUCGAGAACAAUCUUGCUUUUCAGGGCAAGACGAUAUGAUCAAUAGAGCAAGGGUUUGACAAAAUCCUAGAUCAUUGAUCGAAGAGUGCACCAGAAAUAGAGACUAGGUAGCACAAUCAGUCUUAGGGUGACGAUUCAAUAAUCAACACACUAAGAAUGAGGUUAUCGUCCAUUUAACUACCAAGCAACGGAGUUGCUAGCAGUAUUGAUUUCACACACCACGAUUCACUUGUCGGCAUUUCGGUUACAAUAACACGGAAAACCGAGGAGUGAACAAUGAUGGCAAGAAGUAUUACUGCGUCAAGAAUUCAUAAGAGGUAGUGCAAUUCUCAUGAUAUUCUUAAUAUAAAGAUAAUAAUACUCCAAGGUAGAACAGAACAAAAGCUGGAUUGGCAUUUUGAUCUAUGGAAUACAACUGCUUUGACCCAAUCCUAGAUAUGGAUCAGGUUCUGGAGUUUGUUUCUCCUAGUCAUUCUAGAAUAGAAUGGCUUGAUGGACCACAAGAGUAAUAGGUAUCGAUGAACGAUCGCACGCAUAAUCUUGACUAUCAAAUGAUAGACAGGGGUCAGAAUACAACUAAAGAGGGACAACCCAAAAGGACAUACGAUUUUCUGAGUUGUGGAUGCACAGAUUAGUAUGUCGAGCAAAGCUCAACAUUUUUCUUCCGGAUAACCCAUGCGGGGAAGGUAGGACUGGCAGAUUCACAAUGUAGAAUGAAGAACUCAUCAAGAGCAUUCUUAUUGUGAUCUUUUGGUUCAGAGAACUUCUGCCAUAAUGGUUCAUGGUAUUGGAAGAACGGUAUACCACAGACCUCGAGGACUAAUGCAAAGGUUACUAAUAACCUAAGGGAGCUAGCAAUUACUAACAACAUGAAGUAAGUAGGGUGAAUCUCGGGUUCAAGAACCCAGGAAUAGAAUACCUACUACUAAAUGGCAUCACAGGAUGCUUUCGAGAAUGAUGGCCAGAAUCUUCACACUGGAAACACAAAACAUUGCUAGAUUACUAGGUGAUCCCCUAAGACACCUAGGGUCAUAAUAAUAAUUCCAACAUAUAUGUCGAGGCAAUAGAAUACCUCAACUCACCGAUUAGUGUGGUUAAUAUGGCCCAAAGGGACAUCAGAAUGGGAGGAAGGGAUUUUGUCAAUGCUUCAAACUAUUUAGAAACCUGGGAUGACUCGGACAGCAUAACGGCUGUAAAUGCUCAAAAUGAUUUGAGACAUCCUGCAAAGUAGUGGCAUGACCACUCAACAUCACAAUAACAUGGUUCUGAGACCAGCUAUGAACACACGGAAGUAGUAAAAGCUGAACUGAGAUUUGAAACUAAUGAUUCUAUAGGUCUAUGGAUUAGUAACACGUCAUCCUGAUAGAUAGAUGAGAAGGCCUAGUUCUUAAUCCCCGUAGAAGAGAAGAGGAUGACUCAGAUCAGAAGGCCAUGAGGUAUGAGGAGUAAAAAGAGCCUUACGUUCCCUUCCCCAAUCAAUUCCCUUACAUAACUAAAGCAUUUCUAGACACAACUUCGACCAGUUUGGCUUGGUAAUCCUACAGGCACUCAAGCUCUGAUACCAAAGCUGUCAGGACCCUGACUCAAUGCCACAUCAAUCUAUCAUGUAACACCUCAUAUCACUUUGCGGCCUCACGCACGGUAUUCCCACGGGUGUCGCCUUACCUUUGCCCGGGACCGUUUGCGCCUUUUGGCACACGUAUAUGAUAGUGUCGCUAGCAUCCAUAUGAUAAGGAGCCCGGGCUGACAUGGCUAGCCGUAAACCCAAAGUGGCACAGACUUACAGGGACAGGCAUCCAUGACCCAGCAUCGAACAUGUCGGUCAUUAGCAAAUAAGUUCCGGGCUGUAGCACUGGGCUAGCAGGACUCCGGUAAACCGGGCUGUAGCGGGCUAACAGGACUCCGGUAUUCAUCGCGUGACAUUUCCCCGAAGGGACAGACACGGGAACGAAGAAGGACACAUGCCGGCCAGCCUAAGUGUUCUGGAGCAGUAGCAAGCUACCAUGGCUCGGUGGAAACACUAGGAGACAUUUCCUAGUAAGAGAGGCUACUAAAGAUAAACAACUAGAUAGUCAGAUCCCACACAUACCAAGCAUUUCAAUAACAUACACACAAUAUGCUCGAUAUGUGCAAAUACAACAUGGCAUCACAACAUGACUCUACGACUCAAGUAUUUUUUUCAUUAGGCUCCGAGGAGCGAGAUAUUACAAACAGGGGUCUCAUGACCCAACAUUCAGAGCAUACAAAUCAAAGCACAAGCGGAAGCUAAUAUGUCUGAGUACAGACAUCUACAAAUGGAAAAAGGCUUAGAAGCCUGACUAUCUACCAGAUCCUGCCGAGGGCACAAGAUCGUAGCUGAGGUAUCAAGCUAAACGUCGAAGUCCACGCGGAACUACUAGCGAGACCGAAGUCUCUCUGCAAAAACAUAAAAUAGGCAAACGUGAGUACAAAUGUACCCAGCAAGACUUACAUCAGAACUAACUACAUAUGCAUCAUUAUCAACAAAGGGGAUGGUGGAGUUUAACAGCAGCAAGCCAGCUUUGACUCGGUGGCUAUCCUAAACUACGACUGCAAGUAACUCUUUUGAGGUGGCGCACACGAGUCCACAUAUUCACCAUAUCAAUACACCACUAUGGAUCCGCUCCGUCUCCCUACGAGAACGCCAUCCAUAGCACUCACACUUAUCUUGCGUAUUUUAGAGUAUCCACUUUCACUUGUCUAUGAACUGUUAUAGGCAACCCAGAAGUCCUUUACCGCGGACACGGCUAUUCGAAUAGAUGAUGUUAACCCUGCAGGGGUGUACUUCUUCACACACGCUCUCACCACUUACCGCCGUUUACACGACAUGUACUCGGCAACCUUCAAGCGGAAGCCCAACGAGGGUGUCGGCCACGACCUACCUAAACACUCAAGUCCCUAGUCCAGGUUUAUCGCCUAUUCGGGUUCCAUCCAUGAGGAGAUCCGGCCGAAGUUUCGCUCACAGCCCCAAACGAUGUGAGCAGGGUUCCCGAGACACCAAACGGGCGCCCGGUACACCAUGCCACGUG